rnacentral:lncRNA from 1 species
GUUUUUCUUACUGAGUGAGCAGUAAGGUCACCCAGAUAACCCACUCCUGAGUCACGAGGCCUUUCUGACCUAUGACUCUGGAGGGCAGCUCUGUUUAUUUCUUCUUUGUGGUGACAAUGUGGGUGUCACCUUGAGGAGCCCAUUGAAGAAGUUCAUUGAGUGAGAAGACUCGGCCGGGUCUCCGGGGCCGCUGUAACAGACUCAGGGCUGCAGUAACAGACUCAGGCCACCGUAGCAGACUUGGGGCCUCUGACGACAGAAAUGUAUUUCCUCGCCGUCUGGAAGCUGGGAGGACCUGGUUCAAGGUGCGGGCAGGGCUGCUUUCCCCUGAGCCUCUCCACAGUGUCUUCCACCAGGGGCUUCACGUGGUCUUCCCUCUGUGUGCGUCUGUGUUCUAAUCACCUCUUCUUGUAGGGACACGAGUCAUGGGACCUUUUUUAAUCAUAAUCACCUCUUUAAAGAUCCUGUCUCCAAAUACAGUCCCAUUCUGAGGUACUGGAGGUUAGGACUUCAACCUACAAAUAUGUGGGGGUGCAGUAUGCCCCUGACUUCGCUGGAAGUGAUGGAGGUGAAGUUGGUCAAUGGUUUCCAAUGCUCUGCUCUCCCUACACUGAUCGGGGACUGGCCUCUGUCAGGCCUUGUGAGGUGCCUGUGCCCACCCACUGUGAGCCAAAGAUGGAGGCUCCCAGAGAAGAUAGUCCCAGCCCUCCCCCACUAGCCUGGAACCCAUCCUUCCAGCUCAGAUCACACUCUGAGGAAAGAGAUCCCUAAUCCAGGCAGCUCAGACACCUGCUAGGAUUCUCCAGACCCCCGCGAGAGCGCACCCUGUGGUCCCGGGAGAGGGCAGAGUAAGCCAUACCUCAACAGCACUCCACCUGCUCAAUGGCAUGAAACAGUUCCACAUCUGCUGGACCUGGAGGAGGUGUCUUCCUAGGUCACCUACAUGCAGGGCACCAUGGCGAUUUGGAGAUACAAGUGCCACACACAGAGACAGAGCCACGGCCUGCCUUAUCCAGCUGCCCCCAGCAUUUUUUAAAAAAUUAGACAGGGUCUCACUCUAUUGCCCAGGCUAGAGUGCAGUGGUGCAAUCACUGCUCACUACAGCCUUGCGCUUCUGGGCUCAGGUGAUCCUCCUACUUCAGCCUCCAGAGUAGCUGGGACUACAGAUGUGCAUCACCAUGCCCAGCUAAUUAAAAACAAUUUCUUUGUCAAGACAGGGUCUCAAUACAAUGUCCAGGCUGGUCUCAAACUCCUGGCCUCAAGCAGUCCUCCUGCCUCGGCCUCCCAAAGUCCUGGGAUUACAGGUAUGAGACACUGUGCUGGGCCCCUGUCAAUUUUGGAAGGAUCCAGUUGUGUUUCUUCAUUCAUUUAACACAUAUUUGUAGAAAGCAAAUCCGUGCCAGGCAUAGAUGCUUGAGAUUCAUUAGCCAACGAAACAGAAAACAACCUGUGACCUCAUGGAGCCUCCAUCCCUAGCGGGACGGGUACAGCAGGGGCUUCACCCAGAGAGGCUUCCUGUGAAAACGCCCACUGGGUCCUGGGGAACUGGGAAUCCCCGGCCGCUUCUGCACAGGGCUCCUGGGUGGUUUCCUGUUUCGGCUCCACAGCCGGGGGAAGUUUCUGCUGUUUGCUCCUCUGCACUCUAAGCGGAGAUGUGCACACUCGCGAGCAGGGAUUUUUCUGGUUCAGGAAAGUCCUGCGUCCUUGGGCGCACUUUCACAAGUGUGAGAAAGCCAGUUCAAAUGUGACUUCCCGUGAGAAACCCUGCCUGGCCUCCCGCCCUCCCCGGCACUCUCAGCAUGAAUCAUGCUGCGUUGUCACUAUUGUCUUGCUCAUCUGUGCCUGUCGCAUUCCCUGAGUUCCUCCUGGCGGGGUCUCGGCCUUGUUCAUCUUUGGACCUGGUGGCCAGCACAGAGAAUGUGCUCAAUGAAUGUUUGCUGGAUUGAAUGACACACCCUCAGGUCCAAGUGGGCCAUGCCCCUCUGCCUGCAGCCUGGUGGCCGUCAGGGUCAGGGCUCCCAUGCUUUCUGAUACCCGGGAGGAUGGGUCUCUGACCAUGGGAUUUUGAAAUAGCAAUGAGCCUGAAUAACAUUUUGAGAUACUGGCAACAACGAAAGUGUGGAAUGAAACUUCCCGUUAUUUCUGCUGGCUAACACUAAGUGGUUGCCACCUAUGUUCAUAAUACAAGGAACUGCUCAGUUUCAACCAGAGGUGAGUGAAAACAGAUGUCAUUGUUUUCCCAUGUCAGUUCAUGAGCCCUCUGGGUUGUAUUCUCAGGUCGCUCGAGGGUCCACUUGUGCUCCAUUUAGAACCUCCGGACUCUACCGCUCAUCCCCCAAGUUAGCCUGUCACCUUUCAACUCCCAGGGGCUCAGGUGUCAGGGCCUUCGCGUUGCACCUUAGCCUUGGUGUAAGUCACGUGCCCUCAGCUCCUGCCCCUCUCCCUGAGUGACGUCCUCUCUACAGACAGAACUGGGCACUUUCUCCUGCUCCCCAGUGGACCCGAGGCACGAAAGCCUCAGCAAGCAGGGAGUGACAGGCACAGACCACAGCAACCACCCGCAGCCGGAGCAGAGUUCGCGCUCUCCCAGGGGCCCUCCUUGGUGGCUUUGGGGGGGCCUCAAUGCCAGGGUUUGCAUCUUUUCUUUUCUUUCUUUUUUUUUUUUUUUUUUUUGAGACGGAGUCUCGCUCUGUCGCCCAGGCUGGAGUGCAGUGGUGCGAUCUCAGCUCACUGCAAGCUCCGCCUCCCAGGUUCACACCAUUCUCCUGCCUCCGCCUCCUGAGUAGCUGGGACUACAGGCGCCCGCCACUACGCCCGGCUAAUUUUUUGUAUUUUUAGUAGAGACAGGGUUUCACCGUGUUAGCCAGGAUGGUCUCGAUCUCCUGACCUUGUGAUCCGCCCGCCUCGGCCUCCCAAAGUGCUGGGAUUACAGGCGUGAGCCACCGCGCCCGGCCGCAUCUUUUCUUUUUCUCCUUUUUCCCAACUACUGCUGUGCUUUCUGGCUUUGUGCCUUCCUUCUUUGCUUCCUCUCCCAUCACUCCACAGACAAGGAGGCUCUGUCCAAGCUCCUGUCCUGGCUCGCUCAGCCCAGCCUUCAGGUUCUCAGCCCAACACGAGGGUCUCCUUGGGUAGUCAGCUCAAUCAUUUCAAGCUAUUAAUCAACGGACUUCUCCUGAAUGCAUCCAGACCUCUCCUCAAGGCUCUUGCUCCGUCGCCCAGGCUGAAGUGCAGUGGAGCGAUCACGAUCACGGUUCGCUGCAGCUUCAAACUCCUGAGCUCAAACGAUCCUCCCCGCUCAGCCUCCCAAGUAGCUGGGACUACUGGCACAUGCCACCACCCCUGGCUGAAAAUCACUCAUUUUUAAUGAGAAAAUGAAGCGGGAAAGGAAGCUACUCACAACAGCAACAAGAUCCGUACUAUAACCAAGAAUGAAACCAGAAUAUAGAGUUUUUGUGAUUAGAACGGGCAAAUAAAAGAACAAAGCUGAGUGGAGAGUCCAGAAUUCUCAGCCACUCCACUCCUAAGAAUCUGCCGUUUUUAAAAAGUGGACAUGUGCACAAAGGUAUACGUACAAAGAGGCUCAGAAAUAACAUUUGCAAGGGCAAAAACAUUGAGGCCAAUGCGAGUUUUUAUCAACAGGAGAAUGGUUAAAUGAAUAAUGUUAUAUCACAUUUGCAGUGUUUUAUUUAGAAAGGAAGCAUUGCUGUGAGUUCUGACAUGGAAUGAUCUCGGUGGUAUAUUGAAAAGCAAGUUCUAAUAUAAUUCCUCAAGCAUAAAAAAAACUAUAUGUUGAUAUAUUUAUGGAUAGAGGUAAUUGCAUAGAAAAAUGCCUGGAAAGAUACAUGUCAAACCAUUAUUGUGGUUAGUUCUGGGGGCCAUUUCCUUUAGAAAUUUUCUAUGAGAAUGGCCGGGUGCGGUGGCUCAUGCCUGUAAUCCUAGCACUUUGGGAGGCCGAGGCGGGUGGAUCACAAGGUCAGGAGAUCGAGCCCAUCCUGGCUAAUACGGUGAAACCCCAUCUCUACUAAAAAUACAACAAAUUAGCCGGGCGUGGUGGCGGGCGCCUGUGGUCCCAGCUACUCGGGAGGCUGAAGCAGGAGAAUGGCGUGAACCUGGGAGGCGGAGCUUGCAGUGAGCUGAGAUUGCGCCACUGCACUCCAGCCUGGGCGACAGAGCCAGACUCCGUCUCAAAAAAAAAAGAAAUUUUCUAUGACAAUGUAUUCAUGUAGUACUUGUCAAUUAUUUUCUUUUUAAAUAAAAUAGUAAGACCCAGGCUUCUUAGUGCUGUGACAAGCUGGCCUUGUCUCUGUCUCCAGCAGGGUGGCUAAGGGUUUCAGAUGGCACCGCACCAUGGUGUUUGCUCCAGCCCAUCUCCUUGGGAUCAGUGUUAGUGUGGAGGAUGUGAGGGACCAUAGCUGUGACCUCCCGGGUGGGCUUCCAGAAGAGGAGGUCUGGUGAGACCGCUUGGGGCAGGACCAGAUAUUCCACUCCCUGGAAAGGAAGGCAUGGGAUUCUGCCUCGUGGCACAAGCCAGUCAGUUACUUUAGGUGCCUAAUAACCAUUUAGCACGGUCGUCCUUGACUUUGAUGUUGGCUGCACAUUGGAAUCACCUGGGAGGGUUAAACACUACUGAUGCCUGGCCUGCACAUGGAGAUUCUCAUUUAUUUGCUCCAAGAGUGGCCCUGGCAUUGGGAUUCUUAAAAGUUCUCUGGGCGAUGCUCUAAGGACCGCUCUCCUGAACCCCCAGAGUGCUAUCCGGUGUGUCGAUUGCAACUUUUGCAAUUGAUAUUUGAAACCAAAUAGGAGAAUUGUAAAGAAUAUUUGACCCAACUGGUUUCUGCUCAUCAUUCUCUCCCACUGGGAUCUUUCUGAUCUGAUCCGUUUUGCCAUCCAGUGCAUUCGGGCUAGGACAGCCAUGCUUCUGUAGGGACGUCUUUCCGAGGUCUAUAUCCAUAAGGAGAUGCAUCUCUGGGUUUCCUAGACAUGGAAGCCUCACCCGAGCCAAUCUUCCUUUUAGUUGUGUCCUUGUAGGAAGAAAUGGCUUCUAUAUGACUAAAAAUAUCUUCCCCCCAUUGAUAAAAAACCAAGUCCUGGGAAUACCAUUCAGCAAAAUAAAAAGAAACAAACUACUCAUAGGAGCAUGCUCCAAUGUAAACCGUGAAAACAUCGUGCUCAGCGAAAGAAGCCAGACACCAGAGACCACGUAUUGUAUGAGUCCAUAAUAGGAGGUGUCCAGAAAAGGCAAAUCCAUAGAGAGAGAAAGUGGAUCAGAGGUUGAUUGGGGCUAGGGUGGAACCGAGAAUAACUGCAAAAGGACACAGGGCUCUUUUUCAGUGACUGGAAAGUUCUAGAACUGGAUUGUGGUAAUGCUGCACAACUCGGAAUUAACUAGAAAUUAUUGAAUCACACUGGAAAAGGUGAGUCCUGUGGUACAUAGGACUCACUCUUUUCACCUUCACUUGAAAAGGAUGAGUCCUAUGGGCUCCUGGCCUCCCCAGGGCUGUGCAAUGCCCAGGGAUGGCAGAUGCAAAACCUGUGACGCUUGUUCUCCAGAGGGAGGCUGAGGCACACCACUUGCUGGCUCCGGCUGCUUCCUGGCGGUUUCCAAGAAGAAAGAGUGUGCCCUGAGAGGAAGUGGGGCUCCAUGCUGAAACAGCCCCAUGAUUGGCUAGCACAGGGGAAAACUCUCAAACUAUUUUUCAUGGAGUGACCAGAAGGGAGAGAGCUGUUCAAUUCCUGCUGAAAACUGACUCCCUGCCCUCGCUCCUCCCUUUCAUCCUCCCCUCCAUCCUCCCUUCCAUCCUCUUCUCCCUCCUCUUCUCUAUCUUCCCCCCUUCACCCUCCCCUCCGUCCUCCCUUCCAUUGUCUUCUCCCUCCUCUUCUCUAUCCUCCCCCCCACCCUCCCCUCCAUCCUCCCUUCCAUCUCUUCUCCCUCCUCUUCUCUAUCCUCCCCUCCCUCCUCCCUUUCACCCUCUCCUCCAUCCUGCCCUCUCUCCUCCCUCCCACCCUGCCCUCCCUCCCACC